rnacentral:RNase_P_RNA from 1 species
UGAGGCGACCGGGUGAUCGCGUCUCGCCGCGUGCGAGAUGAGGAAAGUCCGCGCUCCACAGGGCACGGUGCUGGCGAAUCGCCAGGCGGGGUGACCCGACGGCAGAGUGCCACAGAGAAAUGUAUUGCCCUUCGUGAGAGGGGCGAGGGUGAAACGGUGCGGUAAGAGCGCACCAGCGCGGGCGGUGACGUCCGCGGCUAGGCAAACCCCACCGGGAGCAAGGCCAAGCAGGAACGAGGGGCUGCCCGUCCCGCGAUCAGUUCCGGGUAGGCCGCUAGAGGGGUCGGGUAACCGGCCUUCGAGAGAGAUGAUCACCACCGGCUCUUGCCGGGACAGAACGCGGCUUAUAGGCCGCCUUGGGCU